rnacentral:rRNA from 1 species
UAGAGGAAGUAAAAGUCGUAACAAGGUUUCCGUAGGUGAACCUGCGGAAGGAUCAUUACUGAAUGAAACUGAGCAGGGCUGUAGCUGGCCUCAGUAACUUGAGGCAUGUGCACGCUGUGUUCUUUCUGAAUUCUUCAACCCUUGUGCACCUCUCGCAGGCCUUGCCUGUGAGUUCAUUACAAACACAUCACAAAAUUGAGAACGAGGUCCUUGAGGCCUGAGAUAUAAUAACAGUACAACUUUCAACAACGGAUCUCUUGGCUCUCGCAUCGAUGAAGAACGCAGCGAAAUGCGAUAAGUAAUGUGAAUUGCAGAAUUCAGUGAAUCAUCGAAUCUUUGAACGCACCUUGCGCUCCUUGGUAUUCCGAGGAGUAUGCCUGUUUGAGUGUCAUGGUAUUCUCGACCCCCUCUGCAGUUCUGCUGCUCAGGUGGGUCGGACUUGGAGGUUUUCAAUUGCCGGCGCACGCGCCUUUGCGGUCGGUCGGCUCCUCUGAAACGUAUUAGCCUGAGUCACUGUCAGGUGCGACGCGGCAUGAUAGUUGUCUAUGCUGCCCUCGCCUCGACGACCUGCGCCGGGCUUCCAAAUGUCUCGAGGAGAGACAAAGUAUUUUGAAAAUCUGACCUCAAAUCAGGUAGGACUACCCGCUGAACUUAAGCAUAUCAAUAAGCGGAGGAAAAGAAACUAACAAGGAUUCCCCUAGUAACUGCGAGUGAAGCGGGAAAAGCUCAAAUUUAAAAUCUGGCGGCUUUGGUCGUCCGAGUUGUAGUCUGGAGAAGUGUCUUCUGCACUGGACCGUGUACAAGUCUCUUGGAACAGAGCGUCACAGAGGGUGAGAAUCCCGUCUUUGAUACGGACUGCCAGUGCUUUGUGAUGCACUCUCAAAGAGUCGAGUUGUUUGGGAAUGCAGCUCAAAAUGGGUGGUAAAUUCCAUCUAAAGCUAAAUAUUGGCGAGAGACCGAUAGCGAACAAGUACCGUGAGGGAAAGAUGAAAAGCACUUUGGAAAGAGAGUUAAACAGUACGUGAAAUUGUUGAAAGGGAAACGCUUGAAGUCAGUCGCGUAGGAUGGAACUCAGCCUGGCUCUCGCUUGGCGCACUUUCUGUUUUACGGGCCAGCAUCAAUUUUGGCCGCUGGAGAAAGGCCUUGGGAAGGUGGCACCUUCGGGUGUGUUAUAGCCUGAGGUCACAUGCAGCGGCUGGGAUUGAGGAUCUCAGCGCGCCUUAGCGGUCGGGGCUCGCCCACGUUCGCGCUUAGGAUGCUGGCGUAAUGGCUUUAAGCGACCCGUCUUGAAACACGGACCAAGGAGUCUAACAUGCCUGCGAGUGUUUGGGUGAAAAACCCGAGCGCGAAAUGAAAGUGAAAGUUGGGAUCCCUGUCACGGGGAGCACCGACGCCCGGACCAGACCUUUUGCGACGGAUCUGCGGUGGAGCAUGCAUGUUGGGACCCGAAAGAUGGUGAACUAUGCCUGAAUAGGGUGAAGCCAGAGGAAACUCUGGUGGAGGCUCGUAGCGAUUCUGACGUGCAAAUCGAUCGUCAAAUUUGGGUAUAGGGGCGAAAGACUAAUCGAACCAUCUAGUAGCUGGUUCCUGCCGAAGUUUCCCUCAGGA